rnacentral:tRNA from 1 species
GGAGUUGUGGCUGAGUGGUACAGCACUUGCCUAGCAUGUGUGAGGCACUGGGUUCAAUUCUCAGCACCA